AUGUAUAAACUAAUUCCGCAAUCGUCACGGCGGAGCGAGCUGGAAGCGGAGCGAGAAGCGGGUGGUUGUGUUGGGGGGGGAGGUCGACUGCCUGAGCUGGCUGGAUGAGCCGAUGGAUGCAUGCGUGCACGGAGGGGGAGAUGCAGCUUGAGGAUGGAGAGCCCCGCCGGUGGAUCACGCCGAUGGAGCACCUUCUUCCUCCUUGGAAGAUCAUCGUUGCGGAAAAGAGAGGCGAUCCUCCCUCAAAAGAUGGAUUCGUGGGACUACAUUUAUUUAUUUAUUUAUUUGUUUAUUUAUUUAUUUAUUUUUUGAUCAAGAGGGAUGCUUGUAGUGACAGUAGUAAGCAGCCGGACACGAGCUCCAUUCGCUGAGGGGUGAUGAGGAUGAUAGAGGCGCCGAUGCUGGUGUCUUUAAUGGACCAUUCCCAGUUUGGAACUACACGGCACGUGGCCGCAUGUGCCGUUUUUUUUUUUUUUUUAAUUCAUUGCUACUUGGACGCCGCUGAACAGCAGACACAAGGAGUAAGUGAAGCUCUACAGAAAUACUCGCACCUCAUCCACAGGCCUUCUAGCAACAGACAGCCUGACCUUCUGGCCCGAGGAGCGGAGGUCAGUGACGGGGUCAGGCCAUCGCUGUGACGUCAGAGCUUGAGAAGAAGAAGAGGAGGAGACGGUGGAGGAGGGAAAAGAGAAACCAGAGUGGGUGGAAGCCUGGAAGAAGAGGAGGAUGGAAGCAGUUUGAGGAGGUUGUUUGAAGCGGGUGAACCCAGAGCAGGUGAACGCAGCUGCGGAUCGCCAUGGGCUUUCUGUCUACUUCCUCUUGUGGGCCAAGUUGCUCUGUACUGGGGUUCCGAAGAUCCAACAGGGGGCCAGCCAAAAGCUGCAGCGAAGUGGGCAGGCUAGGCCAGGAAAGAGGCAGGUGAGCCGGGUGAGCCGAGCUCUCGUUCCCGCCGGCUAGGAGUCUCCUCGGCAGAGCAGAGCAGCGCGGAGCAGCAGAAAUCAAUACCGAGGAGAGAGGCGAGCAGAGGUUGCCCAACACCGCCUGCAGGCCUCAGAGCCCAGGGACCAACCACCACCACCACCACCACUACUCCCAGCUCCUAUCUACCAACUCUCCUUCUGUCUCUCUCCUGGAGUUCCAGUACCGGCCAGGGCCAAGGCCGUCACCUCGCAGCUGCCCUAAUCACAGUGUGUUUGCCAGAACAUGCACACUUGUGCGCAGGAAAGUAAAAUGAACAGAGACAGAAACUAUCCUUGUGUGGGGUUCAGCUGGAGGUUUUCCAACUCCGCUUGAUAAAACUUUGCCAAAGACACACACACACACAAGGAAGCGGCUGAAGAGCGAGCCGUGACGUCGGGGUCCCUUUCCUUCCGGCUCCCACGCUCCAAUUAGUCAUUCCACCUUUACCUUUUCUGGAAGAGGAUGCUACGGAGGACGUCGCGGCUCAGCGCUGUUUCCAAGCACGUUUAGCGCACGGUAUUCCUAAGAUCUCAUGAGGCCGGAUGAAAGGACAAUUUGAACUUUUUCCUCUCAUCACUGUAUCAGGCAGAAGCUGUCUUUUCGCCUUAGAUUUUCUUACCUGCACAACAGCAGCUCCCUUCAGAGGAUAUGGCAGUGCAGUAUUGAUCCGUGAGGUGGAAGAGAGAAAGGCGGGUUCAGGCUUUCAUACCUCUUUCCCUCACUCUGUGUGUGUGUGUGUGUGUGCGUGUGUGUGCGUGUGUGUGUGUGUGUGUGUGUGUGUGUGUGUGUGUGUGUGNGUGUGUGUGUGUGUGUGUGUGUGUGUGUGUGUGUGUGCGUGUGUGUGUGUGUGUUUCUUGGGGUGAAAGGGGGUGGAUUGUACCUGAAGUCCACUUACUGCUGUGCAAAACGGAUCCAGUGACAGCACAGGUGAAUGACUGCUAAUUGAAUGAGGGCUCGAGUGAAAAGGACCCUAGUUUGACAGACUGGUUCCUCCUGCACAUAUGCAAAGCCUUUUGAAGCCAUGUUCUUACUCAGAGUAGGAAAGCAAAAGCAGAGAAACACCUUCACCUGGCGCCUGGAAGACGCAUCCUCACUAAACUUCCACUUCUAGAGUUCGUGCUGUACAUGCUUGAGGAUUGAGGUUUUUGGCCAAAAAAACCUGGAGAUAUUCUCUUCAGAUUGACAUUUGUGAAGCAGUCGGGUGAAGAGCCACCAUGAGGAUUAACAACAGGCCUUAAAAAAAUAAGGCAGCACACAUGCCUCCUUUAGCUAGCUACACGGUUAGCCUGGUCCAGUUUCCCACCUACACGAUCAGUUAGCUUCCCCGUUUGGGGGCAGAUAAUCCGCAUCUUUUCCUUAAGACAUCAGGUAAAAAGGAGCCGCUUCGAAAGGUGAGUUUUAACAUUGAAUUUUUCUGAUGUCGUGUUGUUGUUGUUGUUUUUUAUCAGCUUUUAUUCUGCAGAUUUGUCUGUAAAUUGCAGUCUGCCAUGUCUAAAAUUGUGCAAUAAGUCUUUGCUAAAAAUAAUUUCUAUUUUUUUUCCCUAAAAACAGUAUUUAUAGAUACAGCACCCUGCACUUUUAAAGGCUGAUAGAGAUAAGUAAAAAGCCUGAAAACAAUUUUUUUUCUUUUUUCAGCAGCAGCCCAAUUGCACAGACACACAAAAAAAGCUGCUAUUUUCAUUUAAGUUUAGAGAUUUUAUUUCACCUCUUUUACCAGCUUCUUCACGGUUACAAGAUCAACUUUGGUCCUCUUUCAGCCUUGUUCGUCACUGUUUCAGUUCUUUUAACAUUUUCCAUUAUUCGCCUGACUCCAGACCUGGCAUGUUAACCCAGCUGGUUAUUUUAAAGUAGUUAUUUCCUGCCUUACUUGGCACAUUCUCUUCUCUGUCCCAUUUUCAAGAUUGGCAUAAAAAUACUCAAUCAAAAUUAUGAAAUAAUAUUUGGAUUUUCAGAAACAAAGCUUAAGUUAGGUCUAUUUAACGAGGAUUGUGUGAAGAAUGUCAGCGCUUUAGAUUUUGCAAAAGAAAAACAAUUUGUUCAUUCCCUUUUCUUAGUAAAAAAUAUUUUCUCUUAAAUUAAGGUUUGACUUUUUCUUUCUUGUUUUUUCGUGUGAGAUUAUGCCACUGCAGAAAAGCAACAUUUCUUCCACAUCGUUACCAAUAGUUAUGAAAGGGUGCUGCUGACUUGUGAUUGUGAGAUGAAUAAUUUUUUCUUGAACCACGGAUUACUGUUAUAAUAUUCUGAAAUCUUAAAUAAAACUGAUACAAAUGUGAAAUAAAAAGCUGCUGCCUCCUU